UAGCCAAGGAUGACUUGCCUA
rnacentral:miRNA from 16 species